rnacentral:rRNA from 1 species
GACGAACGCUGGCGGCGUGCUUAACACAUGCAAGUCGAACGGAAAGGCCCUGCUUUUGUGGGGUGCUCGAGUGGCGAACGGGUGAGUAACACGUGAGUAACCUGCCCUUGACUUUGGGAUAACUUCAGGAAACUGGGGCUAAUACCGGAUAGGAGCUCCUGCUGCAUGGUGGGGGUUGGAAAGUUUCGGCGGUUGGGGAUGGACUCGCGGCUUAUCAGCUUGUUGGUGGGGUAGUGGCUUACCCAGGCUUUGACGGGUAGCCGGCCUGAGAGGGUGACCGGCGACAUUGGGACUGAGAGACGGCCCAGACUCCUACGGGAGGCAGCAGUGGGGAAUAUUGCACAAUGGGCGGAAGCCUGAUGCAGCAACGCCGCGUGCGUGAUGACGGCCUUCGGGUUGUAAACCGCUUUCGCCUGUGACGAAGCGUGAGUGACGGUAAUGGGUAAAGAAGCACCGGCUAACUACGUG